rnacentral:tRNA from 3 species
GCCCGGGUGGCGAAAUUGGUAGACGCAAGGGACUUAAAAUCCCUCGGUGGCAACACCGUACCGGUUCGAUUCCGGUCCCGGGCACCA